AAGACCUUGCACUUUUGGAGCGGCCGAUGUCUGAUUAGCUAGUUGGUGGGGUAAUGGCCUACCAAAGCUUCGAUCAGUAGCUGGUCUGAGAGGACGGCCAGCCACACUGGGACUGAGACACGGCCCAGACUCCUACGGGAGGCAGCAGUGGGGAAUUUUGGACAAUGGGCGCAAGCCUGAUCCAGCCAUGCCGCGUGAGUGAAGAAGGCCUUCGGGUUGUAAAGCUCUUUCAGCCGGGAAGAAAAGGUUGCGACUAAUAAUCGCAAUCCAUGACGGUACCGAAAGAAGAAGCACCGGCUAACUACGUGCCAGCAGCCGCGGUAAUACGUAGGGUGCGAGCGUUAAUCGGAAUUACUGGGCGUAAAGGGUGCGCGGGCGGUUUUGUAAGUCAGAUGUGAAAUCCCCGGGCUUAACCUGGGAACU
rnacentral:rRNA from 1 species